rnacentral:rRNA from 1 species
AGCGAACGCUGGCGGCAGGCCUAACACAUGCAAGUCGAACGAACCUUUCGGGGUUAGUGGCGGACGGGUGAGUACACGUGGGAACGUGCCUUUAGGUUCGGAAUAACUCAGGGAAACUUGUGCUAAUACCGAAUGUGCCCUUCGGGGGAAAGAUUUAUCGCCUUUAGAGCGGCCCGCGUCUGAUUAGCUAGUUGGUUGAGGUAAUGGCUCACCAAGGCGACGAUCAGUAGCUGGUCUGAGAGGAUGAUCAGCCACAUUGGGACUGAGACACGGCCCAAACUCCUACGGGAGGCAGCAGUGGGGAAUCUUGCGCAAUGGGGGAAGGCCUGACGCAGCCAUGCCGCGUGAAUGAUGAAGGUCUUAGGAUUGUAAAAUUCUUUCACCGGGGACGAUAAUGACGGUACCCGGAGAAGAAGCCCCGGCUAACUUCGUG